rnacentral:rRNA from 1 species
UACGGAGGGUGCGAGCGUUGUCCGGAAUCACUGGGCGUAAAGGGCGCGUAGGCGGCGCGGGAAGGCGGCGGUGAAAGUCCGGGGCUCAACCCCGGAUCGGCCGUGGCGACUCCCGCGCUGGAGCACAGUAGAGGCGGGUGGAAUUCCGGGUGUAGCGGUGGAAUGCGUAGAGAUCCGGAGGAACACCGAUGGCGAAGGCAACCACCUGGGCCUGCACUGACGCUGAGGUACGAAAGCGUGGGGAGCAAACAGG